AUUGAACGCUGGCGGCAGGCUUAACACAUGCAAGUCGAGCGGGGGAGGUUGCUUCGGUAACUGACCCAGCGGCGGACGGGUGAGUAAUGCUUAGGAAUCUGCCUAUUAGUGGGGGACAACAUUCCGAAAGGGAUGCUAAUGCCGCAUACGCCCUACGGGGGAAAGCAGGGGAUCUUCGGACCUUGCGCUAAUAGAUGAGCCUAAGUCGGAUUAGCUAGUUGGUGGGGUAAAGGCCUACCAAGGCGACGAUCUGUAGCGGGUCUGAGAGGAUGAUCCGCCACACUGGGACUGAGACACGGCCCAGACUCCUACGGGAGGCAGCAGUGGGGAAUAUUGGACAAUGGGCGGAAGCCUGAUCCAGCCAUGCCGCGUGUGUGAAGAAGGCCUUUUGGUUGUAAAGCACUUUAAGCGAGGAGGAGGCUCUUAAGGUUAAUACCCUUGAUGAGUGGACGUUACUCGCAGAAUAAGCACCGGCUAACUCUGUGCCAGCAGCCGCCGUAAUAC
rnacentral:rRNA from 1 species